CUGUGAGCAGGAUCUGGCCUUAGCUGUCCAUGGGCAAAUAAACAGCAGGCUGCAUCGCUGCCCUACACUCAGGUCUCUCUUCCAAGAGGGAGAAGAGGUUCUGACAAACCUUUCCUGGUGGUAAGUGCAACUGGUUGUGAUGUGACAGCUGGCAGAAAAUACAGCUAGCUCUGCCGUGGGUUCCCUGCUUCUGAAUGCACUGCAGCUCUACCCCAGAGCUG
rnacentral:lncRNA from 1 species